AAAAAAAAAAAAAAAAAAAAAAAUUGUUGUUAAAGCGCAUACAUAAAUAAACGGACACAAAAAAAUAAAAAAAAGAAGAAGCUAUUUUAGCUAAUCACAUGUACAUUUUUUUUUUUUUUUUUGUUUUGUUUUUUUUUUUGUUUUUUUUUUGUCACCCCAAUUAUUUGAAGAUAUGAAAAAAAUUAUAUAUAUUUUGUACUAUUUGUUUUUUUUGUGUGUGUUAAUGUUAAAAACCGAAUGUAUCAAACGAUAUUUUCAAACUAGUAACAAUGGACAAAAUAUAUUAAUAUGCAAGCACAACAAUAUAAUUAAUUUAAAAAAAAAUAGAAUGAAAAUAUACAAUUAUUUAAGCACUAGUAAUUAUAAUAUUAUUAAAAAAAAAACAGUAAAAAACAAAAGGGAUAGUUAUAGUAAUAAUGUCUUAUAUGCUGAAAAUUAUCAAAUUAAUUUGAGUGAUAAACCUAUUAUAGAAAAGGUAGAACAUCAAGUUGAAGGAAGAUUAAAUGAGUGGUUACCAGAUUUUGACAAAGAUAAUAAACUUGGUUUUUUUCCUAUACUAUUGGAAGAAAUGUCAAAUGAACCUUCUCCUUUACAAAUUGGAUUUGAAGAUUAUAUGCAAUUUAAUGGAGAAAAUGUACAAGAAAUUUUUAAAAGUAUGACUAAAGAAGUAUAUAUAAAUGGAGAAAAAAAAAAAAUAUUUGGAAUGUGUUUUUUUAAUCAUAAAACAGGAGUAUUAGCACCUUUAGCUGUAUAUGCAGAAAUCAAAGAUGUGACAAAAGUAGGAAAUAAUUUAGCUGUAAAAGGUUUAGUAAGAGGUCGUAUUAUUAUUGAUAAAAUUAUACAACAGGAACCAUGUAUUAUAGGUGAAAUUUUACCAAUAGAAGAUAAAAAAGGUUUAAUAGAUAUAGAAGAAAGUUUAAAAACUGUUGAUGAAAUAAUUAGAAUCCAUGGACAAUGUACAACCAUGGAAUCACAAUUAAUGGAACAAUUAGAUCAAUCAUUUGCUUCUAUGAAUAUUAAAUUAAGAAAUGAUUUAAAAGAAUCUAUAGAUGCAAAAUUAGAAAAAUUUAAAAUCGAUCCAUCAGAUAUAAAUCAAAGACAAGCAUUUGUUCAGUUAGCUUCGUUUGCAGCAUUCGAUUUUCAUUUAAUGAUUGUUGAUAGAUAUGAUGCUUUAAUUUUACAAAAUACUGAAGAUAGAUUAAGAUUUGUUAGAGAUAAAAUCAGACAAAAACAAAAACAACUAGCUAUUAUAAAAAAUACGCCAAAAGAUAAAUUACAGGAAAUAUUAGAACAGGUACAAAAUAUAAAAAAUCAGAAUGCUCCUACACAGAAUUUCCCAAAAUUGUA
rnacentral:lncRNA from 1 species